rnacentral:rRNA from 1 species
CGAGGGGUAACGGGGAGCUUGCUCCGCCGACGACCGGCGCACGGGUGCGCACCGCGUAUGGAACCUACCUUGUACAGGGGAAUAGCCCAGGGAAACUUGGAUUAAUGCCCCGUAGUACUAUUAUUCGGCAUCGUUUNAUAGUUAAAGAUUUCGGUCGGUACAAGAUGGCCAUGCGUCCCAUUAGCUUGUUGGUAAGGUAACGGCUUACCAAGGCUACGAUGGGUAGGGGCCCUGAGAGGGGGAUCCCCCACACUGGUACUGAGACNNGGACCAGACUCCUACGGGAGGCAGCAGUGAGGAAUAUUGGACAAUGGAGGAGACUCUGAUCCAGCCAUGCCGCGUGCAGGAAGAAUGCCCUAUGGGUAGUAAACUGCUUUUAUAC